UGGGUACUUUCACAACGUUGUUGGUAUGUUGUCAAUCUCACGUUGUCAUGACGUUGUAGAUAAAAAUUUACACCACGUUGCUGUGUUCAUGACGUUAUGAUGACGUUGCAUAAAAGUCUCAUCAUAAUGUCGUUGUUAAGUUGUAAAUAUCAUGUUGUCGUGACAUUGCAUUUUGGUAUUUUCACAGCGUUGCUGCUAUGUUGUGAACCUCACGUUGCUGUUACGUUUUAUAAAGGUGUUUUGACACUGAAUUUAAGUUGUAAUUAUGCUGUGGGUUAUGAUCCAUGCUGUUGUGGUAUUGACAAAAACAUUGUGAUUACGAUUUACUGAAUGUGAAGUGAACAUAAUGUUUUAAUCAAUGAUGUUUUAUUUGAUAAUAAUUAACAUUUGGGUGCCGCCUUGCAUUAAUAAUGUAACUCAUGAAAUUUCGAACAUCAUCAUGUUUGUUUUGUCGUUGUAGGAAUAUAAUGUUUCCAUGUGUUUUUCUAAUGGUCCAAGAUGGAUGAGAUCGUGGUCAAAGCGCGACUGUUUCCCGCUCAUAUUCAUUGUUGUAUACUCAAUGUAUAUAUUUAUUGCACACACCAACGUAACUUGAAAUAUGAUUCCUGUUCUCAAAGAAAAUAUUACCAUGGCGCAUGCGCGUCAGCAGAAAUUCCACGUCCAGACCGCGUGAUAGCUUAUUUGAAUCGCUCUGCUCAGUCGAGUCAGCGAUCUAGCAGCAGCAGCUCACUAGUAUAACGGUCGCCGACUCGCCGUCCAGUUGAUGUGAAUUAGCCAUGAUCACCAAGCAAGUUAUUUUCACUACAGCAUUUCUUAGAAGGUAGGCAGUACAUACGUGAGUGCACUGGCUGCAGGAUGUGGCAAGUUUAAACUUUUAACUUCAGCAGUCUUCGAGGGAGGAAGUUUCUAAUUAUUUUGAAAACCACCCCGUACAUCUCUUCAAUGUUGUUGCUAUUCGUGUCUUUGGAGAAGUGCCAUAUUGACAACCUUGCUGAACAAGGAAUCCACUUACUUCUACAUCUGGAUAGUCUUCUAUGAAAGGUUCCAUUAAAUGAAUGUUACUCUAAAACAUAGAUUGGGCAAUUAGCCAAUGUGCAUGGAGGUAUUCAAAGAAAAUCAUGUUGAAAUGUCAAUAUUUUAAAAUGCAGGUUUUUUGCAAGUUCCCUGCAUACAAAUAUAUCUUCACCAACAAACGCUAUUCAAGUAUCCCUUUCAAGUGUUAUUCUUUUUCAUAGACUCUGUAGCUACAAAAAAACCAAAACAAUUCCUUUGAGUUUUCUUUUGAAGAUGUUCCAUGGGAGAGAACGAAAAUGAAGGAUUUAGAUAGAGGACAGAUUUAAAAAGCAUGUGAUUCAGUAGAUUAAAAGUUGUCGGAUCUAUUUUAUUUGUUCGAUGUGGAAGUCGCCUUCCUAUACUAUAUUUCUCAUCACGGACAGUGGAAAAUACUAAUGUUCAAAUACUAUUUGAAACCAUACUUUUGCUUGAAUGUACGUUACGUAUAGCACUGUGUAUUUUUCAUGAAUUGAUCCAAUACAUGAAUAGGUAUUCUCUAGUGUGGGUAACAUUGUGAUAUGGAGCCCCUUUAAAGGUGAUGUAUAAAACCGGUUAGUGGCUAGGUCGACGAUAAUAGCCCUUGCAUUCCGGCUCUGGCUAUAUUAUUGGUGACCAGACCCUUUAUCUUCUAAUUGCUCAGUAACAACGUUAUUGUCUUGUUAAAAGGUCGGUUCAUACUCUAUGAAGUUACGGCAAUUCACUUUGUGAAGUUACGGCAAUCAUUAACGCCAGCGCUAAAAAAUUGGGGGAAAAAAGAGUGAACCACAUUUUACUCUGGGCAAUUUUGAGUCAAAUGGUUUCGAUGUCAACAUAUCAAAAUUUGCUUUCACUUGAAGUAUGAACCGAUCGUUAGAGCUCAGCCCGGUCACUAAGGCGUGAAUUCCUUAUUGUGGAUUUAAGUAAAAGACUUUAAUUGUAUACCAUUCACGAAAUGGACACUGUAGUAAUAUGUGCAUAUUGAUCUGUCCAAAUAAUUGCAGUGAGUAUUAAUUACACUUACCGUUUUAGUGAUUGCAUUUUAGUAAUGUUUUUUCAUGCUGUUGUUUCUGAACACUGUUUGUAAUAAAAUUAGAGAAA